rnacentral:lncRNA from 10 species
CCUAAAGCCUCACUCCUCUCAGUGCUUAGCCAAGAACCAUCCAGAAAAGAAGGUUGGAGCACUUACUCAGAAGCUCUGGCGUAUAGGAAGCUCCCAGCACAGGGAACUUUAGAAAACUCAUAAAUGCAGGUCUCCAGAUGCCAGAAGAUUAAACAAAUGCCAGCUUCACAAGGCCAUGCUUUUCCAGCAGAAGAGAGAUGCAAUGUAAACAAAAAACUUGUAGGUAAAAAUAAAAUUUUGGAACAGAAAGAGGACACAAAAUAAGGAUUUAAGGCUGACAGAAUGGGAGGAGAAAAAAACAAGAAUUCAAUAUACCAACCAAGCAAAAAGGCUGCAGAGAAAGAAAAAAGAAAACACACAUCAACAGGCCACACCCUGGAGAUUUGAUGCACUGAAGCUUUCAGAAGUCUUGCAUGCUGUUUCCACUGGAGAACUGAUUGUGUCACAUUGCCAUGAUUCAUCCAGUGUCUGCCUUCCCUUAUACUCUGGGCAGAGAUGAACCCUUCUUUGCCAUCUCUCCAGCCGCAUAAAGUCACUGAAGCAUUAUAUUGGCUCAGUCAUUGUGGGUUGAUGAAUCCAGUGAGCACUUGAGAAGGUCCAUUUUCAAAAUAUCUCACAGGACAACUUGAUGGAAAAUAAAAAUAAUUCUUUUGUGAAAUUUCAUUUCUAUAAGCAGCAAUGAGUCUUCAUAUUUGUUGAGUACUUAUUUUCCUGUCACCAACAUUUGCUGCAAUUCCCUUUCUAUAAGAUCAAAGGACCAUAUAUAUAUAAUAAAUGAUCAUAGGGUGUUUGUUUGUUUUGAGUUGGAGUCUUGCUCUGUUGCCCAAGCUGGAGUGCAGUGGCAUGAUCUCGGCUCACUGCAACCUCCGCCUCCUGGGUUCAAGUGAUUCUCCUGCCUCAGCUGCCCAGGUAGAUGUGAUUACAGGUGCCCGCCACUACACUCGGCUAAUUUUUGUAUUUUUAGGAGAGACAGGGUUUCACCAUGUUGGCCAGGCUGGUCUCAAACUCCUGACCUCAAGUGAUCCCCCCUCCUCAACCUCCCAAACUGCUGGGAUUACCGGUGUAAGCUUGGCCUGAUCAUACUGUUUAAUUUUUUAAAGCCUAAUUGUAUAAAGCCCUGCUUUCAUUCUAGCCACUUGGAUCAAGUCAACUACUAUUUGUGACUAAAUCCAGUGAUGCUUUUUGACUUCCAUUUUACUGCCUGAUACAGUUUGGCUAUGUCCAAAGGGGGCAAUAGCAGAAAAAAAGAAGCAAACACUUCUAAGACUUCAAAUUGUGAAGCAUUACGUUUGAUCCUGCAACCUACAUUAGCUCAUGAUAUUACUACAAGAAAUCCCUAGGGUAAGUAUUUUUAUUCCCAUUUUGCAGAUAAUGCCCAGAAAACUUUACUUUUUUGUCUCAGGUCAUGUAGUUUGCCGGAAUUUGAAGGGCUGCCACGUGAAAAGGUAAUAAACUUGUGGUGUUUUGUUCCAGAGGAAACUCCUAAAACAAAUGAGUUCAAAUUUCAGGUAGGAAGCUUAGGUAUGAUAUCAGAGAGCAAUAUCUAACAAUUAGAGCUAUAUUACAAUGGUUUGGGGUUUUCAGAGAAAUCAGGCAAUAAGGUUAAAAAACCAUUUAUCAGAAUUGCUGAAACUUCCUUCUGGGGUGGAAGAAGGAAUUAACCUCUGAAUCCAGCUACAAUAUCUCAAUAGUCAUACACCAGUUUCUUUACAUAUUUACUAUAUGUAAGACAACUUGAGAGAAACUUUCCACAAAUUACCUUAUUUAAACCUGCUGAAAACUCCACAAGGUAGAUUAUUUUCAUUUUACAUAUGGGAAAACUAAGGCAUAGGUAGGCAAGAACAAUUUUCCAAAGCCACGCAGCUAUUAUGUGUUGGAGCCAGAAUUUUAACUGAGUUUGCCUUACAAGAAGAGUUUCUCAGCUUCAACACUAUUAAAGUUUCGGUUCAGAUAACUCUCUAUUGUGGCGACUGUCUAGUGUAUUGUUGGAUAUUUAGCAGUAUCCCUGACUUUUACUCACUAGAUGCCAGUAGUGCCCCUUCCCCAGCUUGUGACAACCAAAAAUACUCUAGACAUUGCCCAAUGUCCCUUAGGGGUAAAAUGGUCCCAGUUCAGAACCACUGCCUUACCAGAAAGUAUCCUACUCUGCCUGAGUCCAAUGGUGUCAUUUCUGCUCUUUGCACCCAACAUUAAACACUUGUAAAGUCUAUACUCAUCAUGAAGAAUUUCCUUCUUUUCACUAAACAUUUCCUUCAGCAAUAUAAAAAGCCUG